rnacentral:lncRNA from 1 species
AAAUGCCACCAUGAACUGCAGUUACAAAACUAGUAUAAACAAUUUACAGUGGUAUAGACAAAAUUCAGGUAGAGGCCUUGUCCACCUAAUUUUAAUACGUUCAAAUGAAAGAGAGAAACACAGUGGAAGAUUAAGAGUCACGCUUGACACUUCCAAGAAAAGCAGUUCCUUGUUGAUCACGGCUUCCCGGGCAGCAGACACUGCUUCUUACUUCUGUGCUGUGACUACCUCAGGAACCUACAAAUACAUCUUUGGAACAGGCACCAGGCUGAAGGUUUUAGCAAGUGAGUAUUACAGACAAGACAGGCUGUAUU